rnacentral:tRNA from 1 species
GCGUCAGCGGGCCUCCCGGGCGGGCGGCGCCUUCAAGAGGCGCCGCCGGGCCGCCUCCGUCAGCGGCCGGUACGCGCCCGCCCUGUCGCG